GCGAGCUAUCCACCGAAAUGCAAGCCUCCGCGGGAUCUGUGGCCGGACCGCGGCGAUUUUUACUUUAUGUGGUUAAGUAGUCAUACUAAUCACCCCACAGAUUUGAGAAACAGGCGUUUUCUGACCAACGUUGUAAAUUUGUCAGACGCCUCACAACGUGCUACUGAAUGCUAGCAGCUAGUUGCAGCAGCUCGCUUUGCAUACAGAACAAGUAGCAGCUACCUCCAGUAGCCUGCAGCUACAACUGAAACGAUUCGCAUAAUCUGGCUAAUAACUGCAUGAGGAGUGCCGGCUUGAAAUUGCCACAUUAAUUAUGCUACUGUUUGUUAGCGUAAAAUCGACCUGAAGCCAGCAUUCAGCCGAGAUAUUUGAUAGCCGUACUUCCGGUUUUUGUCGUCGGAGGUUUGAAAUGCAUUAUGGGAAACGUAGUAGUAUACUACAGUGUGAACGGUUGGCAUUCUAAUCAUACUUAUAGUACGUAGUAUACAGUAUAUACUCAUUGAGAAUGUAGUAUGUAGUACGUUAGUAUGCCAUUUCGGACACAGCCAGGGACUUCUCCCUGCCGCUGCAUGUGAAUCACGUCGUAACACUUGCGGUCUCGCGGUCUCCAAUGCGUGUGCCUGUCUUCCAGCCCCUUUAGCCCGGUUGCGAUGUGGCUUGGCAUUUCUUCGCUGCUCCCGGCAUCUUGCUCUCGGCGUCCUUGGCGCCUCUCCGCUGCUCUUCCCUUGGUGUCGGCCUCUCAACGUCUCAGCGUCCCUCUACUACUCCCAUUCAGCUGCUUUAUUCUCCCUGGCUUCAAUCACGCACAGCUGAGAGCGACUGCCGAUUGGGGAAAAACAUCAUGUGAUUUGGGGUGGUCAUGGCAACGGCAGAUCACACAGGCGAGACCACGGCCCGGAGGUUGGUCGGGCAGGCGGGGUUGCUCCAGAGGAUGGUCCGGAGGCUGGUCAGGCGGACGGGGCUGCUCAGGAUGACGGUCAGGCAGGUGGGACCAAGGGAUGAAGCCCUGCAAAAGGCCAGGUUGUGGCCUACAGCAGCGGAAGCAGAGCCCCUCGGGAGACUGGCGACAACGGAGAUGGAAUAGACCCUGUGCAUGAUAGCAUGUGCUCGUUCCGGUUGAAAAACUCCGGGUGCUACAGUUACUUCCAGUCCCGGUUACAGCGCUGUCAAAAUGGAAGAAGCCAGCAGUACACUUUACUUUUCCAGAUGCCUAGGCAACUUGCCUAAAAUUUCUGUUGACGAUGUUUAUCGUCUCGUUGAUGAUUUUUCGUCAGCUCCUCAAAGCAAACGGGAAAAGGGAUUCAGAUUUUUUAUAUCUCAGUACAUAUAUAACUUUGAAAGUAAGUGGCAUCGCAUCCUACAUAAUUAGCGCUAGCUUAACUGUAGGGCUUGCCAAACAUGUACCUUAUUAUUUUAUUUUCUAUUAUUUAUACAUUACUAUUUUUUGCUUACUUAGCUACUAGAAUCCACUUUACACUUUAGUGUUUGGUACUUAGUUGCGCUUCAGUUGCGCUUCAGUGUCCCGCCCGCGGUACACUUUGAGAUCUGCAUAAAGCAAUUUGCUAAAUGUCUGAAACUGCAAACGCGAUUAUACAAACACUAUACGCCGAUGGAAAGCUUAGAUUCUCAUGAAUCCGCCGGUAUAAACCACUUUCAGAUGUGAUUACUACAGCCGGUAAUAUAAACACAUUUGUCCGACAAACAACGAAUAUCCAUCCAUCCGUUCUCCAUACACGGCUUCAACGUACACAGCGCGACUCACAUUUCCGGGUUCAUUAUUACACACGGAUGAAAAUAUUCCACAAAAAAUGGCCAUAAUCCAACCUUGGACAUCCAGACAAAACAAGCCAGUAACAUAUUUUGUCCAAAACAUGUCUUGAAGUCGGUAUAUACUCCACGAAUAGGUCAUUUUCAAGGAAAUGCACCUCGCGACGCGCAUCCAAUAUUCCCUGUAUUUCUCGUCAUAUUUUUAUUUACAAAUAGAAUAUUUGCGAUUUUUUGUACUGAAAAUGGCUGGAAUUGACUGCAGCUUAAAGGGUUAGUCGAGUUCAGCAAAACAUUUUAUAUUUGUAGUUUUGUUUGAACAAAAUGACAAAUGCUUGGAUUUCCUCUAUAUUUGAUUAGGUGUCAAAACGGAAUAACAAAUGAUUGAAGAAUGCACGGAUUGUUGUUAUAGUUUAUCAGAUAUUUGCUGUUUGAUCAGUGACUAUGCACUAAUAUUCCCGAUCCUCAGCUCAGUGUGAAACAUUUUUUUUCGUCUAAUUUUGGCAAUCCACUGAGCCCGCAAAUGCCGGUCUUUUGGAAAACGGUGAAGGCUUAUAGAACCGUUAUAAACACCAGAAGCCGAACAUAAUGGUACACUACAGUACCUCCCAUAUCGACCUUGAACACGCCGAAAUCUGAUUUUAUGUUUUGCCGAGAAAACAAUGUUUUUCUUUUUUGAUUCCAUGUUAUCCAUGCUGCGAAAUAGCCUCCGGAAGGACCUGUAAGCCCUCCCGGUCAGAACCCGGAAGUUAGCAUUUUGACGUGCACAGGGGUCUAUUCCUCGGGAGGCUGGCUAUGAAGGAGGCGGAACCCCUAGGGAGGCCACCGACAAAGGAGACGUAACCACUCUGGAGGCUGGUGGUGGGCAAGACGAAGACCCAUAGGAGGCCGGCGUCGGACAAGAUGUGGACCAUUGGGCAAUUGAGCUGGAGGCCAGCAAAGGCAGGACCCCUCUGGUGACCAGACUGGGAACCAGCAGAGGCCCUCUGUUGCAGGGUUGGCCACUGUGUCACCGGAUUAUGGCCCAACCAAUUUAUCUAUAAUCGGCCGAUUAACUCUGCCGAUUAUAGUCCUUUUCGCAACAAUCAUCAUCGGCUAGAGGUGGCACAACGUGGACAAAGCAAGGUGUGAGACUACAACACUAAGGACAUUUCUGGUGAUGUUGUCUGUAAUAUUUGUGCAGCUUCAGUAAGACAAGCAUCAAGCCAACUAAAUCAAAUAACAUCACAGACCUGUGGCAACACCUCAAACCAAAACAUAAAGAUGCUUCUGAGAAGCACAAGAAAAGGCAGCACAAAUGUCAGAGCAUUCUUCCCAUGCUCAGACAAGUGUUUGAUCGAACCACAAAAUGGUUCCCAAAUGAUCCAUGAUCAAAAGAGAUGGACCAUACUGAAAAUGGAAAUGACUGCUACAGAUAUCCUGCCCUAUGUGGUUGUGGAAGAUGAAGGUUUUAAAAGACUACUGGCCAAGGCAGAACACCGUUAUACUCCUAAAAGCGAAAAGUACUUGUGCACUCAGCUGAUGCACGACAUGUACUUAGAAGUUGCAAGAGAGUAAAGGAACUUCUCUCUGUGGAAAAUGCAGGAACAGCAUUGCCUUCACCACAGACUGUUGGUCUGGAUCAACUGAGGCUCUCAUGAGCUUGACUGCACAUUUCAUCGUCAAAAACUGGAAAGACUCCAAAUUGUGCUGAAUGUAAAGGCCAUGUUUGGGUCUCACAUAGGGCAAUAUUUCCUGACCUUACUGAAAAAAUUAGACAUUGUAUGCUCAGCACAUUCACCUGGUGCUGAGGGACAUCGAUGCAUUAUGAUCAAAGGAAUGAAACUUGCAGAGAUGUCUGCCUGUGCUGUACUGCACCUACUCUCAGCUAACGAUCGAUGAUGGCCUCACCUCCCAGAGGAUGGUGGGUGACAUACUGGGGGGACAACUGCCCAAAAUGAAGAGUCCAACUGCAGAGAAGUGGGACAUGGCAGCCAACCUGGUGAAGACACUGACACCACUGGAAGAAAUAACAUGCGAGAAUGAGUAAAGAAUUCCUCUACCUCCUGCAUCAUCCCAUGUGUAGCAUGCUCAAGGCAUCUGCUUG